rnacentral:lncRNA from 1 species
UCUUGUUACACUUUUGAAUUGUUCACAUUAGCUCGAGCUCGAGGAGUGAUCAGGAAAUUGUUUGGUGUGCAGAUUUGCUGUGUUUUAAAGGAAAAUUUCACCUGCGCUCACUGGAUCUUGAACUUGCGCCUUAUUUCAGAGAACUUCGUUCACAAUUUAAUGGAAGGCGAAUAUCUUGUUAUGAAAACUAUGCCCAACUCGGAAAAAUGAAAAUUCUAUUUUAUUGCAGAAAAGUCGUUCUAAGGGUUAGCAUUUUCUAUUUACUUUCCUCAAAAACAAUUUUUUCCCGUUCCACAUUAAAAUAACAUGUUCUUACUGAAUAUUCUCGGCCUAAUCCAGUCUUUUCGUUUUUUAUUUAUUUUUCUUAAAGUUGGACACUUUUCAGAAGAAGCCAUUCAAGUACACUCUUAGAAAUCUUGCAAUUCACUUAUUGUUAGUAGCCUAUUUUGCCUCUAGAAAACUCACAUGACGUGAAGGAAAAGGGAACCACGUUCCGUAAGAGCGAAAUUCACACCAUAGGAGUGGGGUCUACUCCGCAAAAAUAAUCAAUCCCGCCUCAUACUUAUAUUGCUUGGAGUUUUGGGGGGCAACAUAGGCUUUGAGUAAAUUGCACUCCAUGCAG